UACGUAGGGCGCAAGCGUUAUCCGGAAUUAUUGGGCGUAAAGAGCUCGUAGGCGGUUUGUCGCGUCUGCCGUGAAAGUCCGGGGCUCAACUCCGGAUCUGCGGUAGGUACGGGGCAGACUAGAGUGAUGUAGGGGAGACUGGAAUUCCUGGGUGUAGCGGUGAAAAUGCGCAGAUAUCAGGAGGAACACCGAUGGCGAAGGCAGGUCUCUGGGCAUUAACUGACGCUGAGGAGCGAAAGCAUGGGGAGCGAACAGG
rnacentral:rRNA from 1 species